GGACCAGGGGAAUCCGAGUGUUUAAUUAAAACAAAGCAUCGCGAAGGCCGCGGUGUUGACGCGAUGUGAUCUCUGCCCAGCGCUCUGAAUGCCAAAGUGAAGAAACUCAGUGGAGCGCGGGCAGCGGCGGGAGGAACUGUGACUCUCUAAGGUGGCCAAAUGCCUCGCCAUCUAAUUAGUGACGCGCAUGAACGAGAUUCCC
rnacentral:ncRNA from 1 species